rnacentral:rRNA from 1 species
AGUGAACGCUGGCGGCAUGCCUAACACAUGCAAGUCGAACGACAGCACAGUAAGAGCUUGCUCUUACGGGUGGCGAGUGGCGGACGGGUGAGGAAUACAUCGGAAUCUACUUUUUCGUGGGGGAUAACGUAGGGAAACUUACGCUAAUACCGCAUACGUCCUACGGGUGAAAGCAGGGGAUCUUCGGACCUUGCGCGAUUGAAUGAGCCGAUGUCGGAUUAGCUAGUUGGCGGGGUAAAGGCCCACCAAGGCGACGAACCGUAGCUGGUCUGAGAGGAUGAUCAGCCACACUGGAACUGAGACACGGUCCAGACUCCUACGGGAGGCAGCAGUAGGGAAUAUUGGACAAUGGGCGCAAGCCUGAUCCAGCCAUACCGCGUGGGUGAAGAAGGUCUUCGGGUUGUAAAGCCCUUUUGUUGGGGAAGAAAAGCAGCAGGAGAAUAUCCCGAUGUUCUGACGGUACCCAAAGAAUAAGCACCGGCUAACUUCGUG